GUGGGGAAUUUUGGACAAUGGGCGCAAGCCUGAUCCAGCAAUGCCGCGUGCAGGAAGAAGGCCUUCGGGUUGUAAACUGCUUUUGUACGGAACGAAACGGUCCGGGUUAAUACCCUGGGCUAAUGACGGUACCGUAAGAAUAAGCACCGGCUAACUACGUGCCAGCAGCCGCGGUAAUACGUAGGGUGCAAGCGUUAAUCGGAAUUACUGGGCGUAAAGCGUGCGCAGGCGGUUUUGUGAGACAGGCGUGAAAUCCCCGGGCUCAACCUGGGAAUUGCGCUUGUGACUGCAAGGCUGGAGUGCGGCAGAGGGGGAUGGAAUUCCGCGUGUAGCAGUGAAAUGCGUAGAUAUGCGGAGGAACACCGAUGGCGAAGGCAAUCCCCUGGGCCUGCACUGACGCUCAUGCACGAAAGCGUGGGGAGCAAACAGGAUUAGAUACCCCAGUAGUCC
rnacentral:rRNA from 1 species